GCAUUUUAAGGUAAGGAUAAGUAGGUUGAAGAAGAAGUAAGAGGGGCCAGAUUGCGAUAGUUAUGAGCCGGAGUAAGCUUGAUACUACUUCUUUGUUUUCUUUGUUUCUUUGUAGUUGAAGAAUAAUAGAUAGUUUUUGAAUAAUGUAAAAUAAAAUUUUGAAAUAAAAAAAGAUUUAAUAUUAUAAAUGAAGUAUGGAAUUUAUUGUAGAUGAAUACAGUGGAGAAUUGUAAGUGGAAAAUUGGAAGUAUUGGUGAAAAAUGGAUAUGAAUGGGAGAAUUGUAAUAUUGAGGUUUGAGAAGGAGUCUUUGGAGUCUGGAUUUGUGUGAAGAAGUAUAAGGAGAAUGAUAGUUAAAUAUAGAAGAUUCUAGUGAUUGGAUUAUGGAGUGAUUGUAUGCUGUCUUUUAAGAUAGUAUAGUAUUACAUAUUAUUGUCAUAAAUUAGGAGAAAAAAAGAGAUAGUGAAUGUGAAGAUGGAAUUAUCGAUUGUAAUAUUUGAUAGAAUGUGGAGGACAAUGUAGCAUUCUUGGGUGUUUUGAGUUGAACAAGAGAUAGUUAAUUGUAUGACCCUAAUAUGUAAACUCAUGCGGAUAAUCUUUCUUUAUAUUCAAAUUUUCAUAUACAAGUUUAUUUUGAUUAGAUUAGUCUAGAGUAAGUAAAAUAAUAAUUACAUUUUGGUACCGGUAUUGGGGAUUGAUAAUAGUAUUGAGUAUUAGGAAUUAAUUGCUGAAUGUGUGGUUGUGGAUAUCAUACAAAGAGGUUACAAAAUUAGUGUUGGUUCA
rnacentral:lncRNA from 1 species